UAGCUCAGUGUUAAGAGUGCUCACCUGGAAUGUGUGAAGACCUGGGUUUGAUCCCCAG
rnacentral:tRNA from 1 species